CCUACGGGUGGCAGCAGUGGGGAAUAUUGGACAAUGGGGGCAACCCUGAUCCAGCCAUGCCGCGUGUGUGAAGAAGGCCCUCGGGUUGUAAAGCACUUUCAGUGAGGAAGAACGCCUGGUGGUUAAUACCCAUCAGGAAAGACAUCACUCACAGAAGAAGCACCGGCUAACUCCGUGCCAGCAGCCGCGGUAAUACGGAGGGUGCGAGCGUUAAUCGGAAUUACUGGGCGUAAAGCGCGCGUAGGUGGCUUGAUAAGCCGGUUGUGAAAGCCCCGGGCUCAACCUGGGAACGGCAUCCGGAACUGUCAAGCUAGAGUGCAGGAGAGGAAGGUAGAAUUCCCGGUGUAGCGGUGAAAUGCGUAGAGAUCGGGAGGAAUACCAGUGGCGAAGGCGGUCUUCUGGACUGACACUGACACUGAGGUGCGAAAGCGUGGGUAGCAAACAGGAUUAGAUACCCUAGUAGUC
rnacentral:rRNA from 1 species